AGGAAAUUGGUCUGUUUACUUUAAGAUCGCAAGAAAAUGUAACGUAUUUUGGAUGUGCUUUGAGGAAUCAGGAAGGCAAGUGUUUCCUCUUGUUUAUGAAAGCAACUCAGUUGGUUAAGGGGCAGACAACUUGUGAGCAUGGUACAUCACUACCUGUAUUGGUAUUCCAUUUUGAUAAUGCUGCUAGCUAGAAUAGAAAUAACAUCUUGCUGUGGUAUGGUCUGUGGAGAGUUUUACUAGGAUAUCACAGAUCGAUUGAAUAUUCAGCAAUGAUCACAGACCAUGCAAAGUUUGAAUCUGACUUGCACUUUUGAAUUUAGAAGAAUCUGUGGAGGAGGGUGAAUGCUGAGACCUUUAAUAAUACAUGAUAUUGCUGACACAGUGUGUCAGUCAUCAAAGAAAUGUCAUAACAACACAGUUGGUCAACAAAGAUUUAAAUCCUGUCACAUUCUACCAGUGGAGAAAUAUCUUAUCACAAUAAUUUAAAUUUUUGAAGAAGAUAACCAAGUAUUACCACUUUAUCAUGUCUGCAGAAACACCUGGAUUGUUAGUCUUAAAAGUGACAGUCCGGUUAACUUACUAAAAUCUACUCCCCCUUGCCAAACGAAUAUUAUUGACAUGGAAUGACAGAAGCCUGACAAUGGUACCUGUAUGAACUCAGAAGAGAAUAGUAUUUGUCUGAAAAGUCAAAGGAUUCUGUUUGUCCCAAACCACUUGAACUGAAAUUGGAUUGACGAGCAUUUUUCUGAGAACUGAAAAAAGGAAGUGAAUAUAAAAGAUAGAAAUUGUUGUUGAAUUCAAACGUUUUAAUAUACAACACUUUAGCCUGUUUUGCUAUUCAUAUAGAUGUGUUUUGCUGUUAAGGUUAAACAUCAAGUAAAGGUUGUAGUUUCAGUUACCUACAUUAAAGUAUUGGCUGGAAAUAAAUAUUUACUUUUCACCAGGGUUUGUAGCAGUGUAACCUUCAUCAAAAGUUAAGCUGUUUUGUUAAUUAUUAAAGUAUUUUUAGAAAAAGGAAUUUAGUAUGUAUGUUGCCAUGGUAACAUAAUUCAA